ACACCUCCACCACCUGAAGUUUUCUUAAGCUAUGACCACAUGAAUUCGCAGUAUAAAUGGGUGAGUCCUUUUUAAAAACCUCAUCUUCAGUGUGCCUGAUCUGUAAAACUAGAGCCUCAGGUGUGAUCCUAGGUAGGCUUCCCACAACAUGGAUUAGUUUGCAAGGGAAAGUUGUUUCUGAGCAGUAUGGCAUAGUGAUUAAGAUGAGGGAUCCUGGAAUCAGCCCGUGAUUUUGGGCAAGUUAUCUUAGGUCCACUUUGGACUGCUUCAUCUCUUAAAUGAGGACAGCAACCACCUACUUCAGGAAUAUGAAGGUGACAACACUUAAAACUGUGCCUGGCACAUUGUAUUUGCUAUUGUCUUAAUGUCCUGGAAUAAUGGUUUCUAUAACUUGGGAAGAAAACUAUUUGAGAACAAGAUUGGUUACAUCAAGUUGUAUAGUGAAAAGAUCUGUUAUUUAAACUUGCAGUUUAAAGUCGUUAGAAUCACUCUUUUCCGUAAGGCUUUCUUUGCAAGAGAUCUGCAUUAAAUAAAGUUGCUAGCAAAUAACUAAAUUUGGGCAAAUAAUCUAAUAAUAGCAAGAUGAUAAGUGUACUAUUACUGUAUUUUGGGAGUUGGUAAUACAUUCACAUGGAUUUAUCAAUACACAUUGAGAAGCAAAGCCUCUCAAGCUGUCCCAGAUCCUCCAUUCCAAAGCCACACAUCUUAGGUAACUCAUAGUUUAGUUUGGAAAGGUUAAUCUCUUCCAUAUCAUGUAAAUAUUUGAAUAUGUACAAAGACUUAAUUUGACUCUUGUCCAUUUUUGUUUCUUUGAGAGGGAGCCUCGCCCUAUCACCCAGGCUAGAGUAGAGUGGCACAAUCUCGGCUCACUGCAAGCUCCGCCUCCUGGGUUCACGCCGUUCCUGCCUCAGCCUCCCGAGUAGUUGGGACUACAGGCGCCCGCCACCAUGCCCGGCUAAUUUAUUUUUUAUUUUUUAUUUUUUGUAUUUUUAGUAGAGAUGGGGUUUCACUGUGUUAGCCAGGAUGGUCUCAUCUGACCUCGUGAUCUGCCCGCCUCCACCUGCCAAAGUGCUGGGAUUACAGGUGUGAGCCACCGCGCCUGGCCGACUCUUGUCUGUUUGAAUGCAAAGUUCUCAAUAGUGGUUUUUGUAAGUAUUAGCUUAUAAUUUUGGAGAGUGAUGGGUAUGGUUGCUGGUUGAUGAGCGAUAAGAUUAUGUAGCCUUAAACUACCUAGAAGAGUUUCUAUGGGUGAGGCAACAGGCUGUUAACAAAAAGAAACUGGAAAUACAGUUUCUCCUGUUUGUACAACCUGCUUUAAAAACAAGUGUACAUGUAGAACAGAAUACAAAAGUGCCAUUUAAUACUUUAUAGCUAUUUCCAUGCACAAGUGCUGGUUUUAUAUUUAUAUGAAAGCAAAGACUGUUCCUGAGUUUUCUUCCAGAGUAUUUCUGUUACAGCUGUAGAAGUAAAGUUAAUACUGUUUUGUGC
rnacentral:lncRNA from 1 species